rnacentral:rRNA from 1 species
ACGGGUGAGUAACGCGUGGGAACGUGCCCUUCAGUUCGGAAUAACCCAGGGAAACUUGGGCUAAUACCGGAUACGUGCGAGAGCAGAAAGAUUUAUCGCUGAAGGAUCGGCCCGCGUCCGAUUAGCUAGUUGGUGAGGUAAUGGCUCACCAAGGCGACGAUCGGUAGCUGGUCUGAGAGGAUGAUCAGCCACACUGGGACUGAGACACGGCCCAGACUCCUACGGGAGGCAGCAGUGGGGAAUAUUGGACAAUGGGCGCAAGCCUGAUCCAGCCAUGCCGCGUGAGUGAUGAAGGCCCUAGGGUUGUAAAGCUCUUUCGCCAGGGACGAUAAUGACGGUACCUGGAUAAGAAGCCCCGGCUAACUUCGUGCCAGCAGCCGCGGGAAUACGAAGGGGGCUAGCGUUGUUCGGAAUCACUGGGCGUAAAGCGCACGUAGGCGGAUCUUUAAGUCAGGGGUGAAAUCCCGAGGCUCAACCUCGGAACUGCCUUUGAUACUGGAGGUCUCGAGUCCGGGAGAGGUGAGUGGAACUGCGAGU